UACGACGGAGCACGUGAAAUUCCGUCGGAAUCUGGGAGGACCAUCUCCUAAGGCUAAAUACUCUCUAGUGACCGAUAGUGAACCAGUACCGUGAGGGAAAGGUGAAAAGCACCCCGGAAGGGGAGUGAAAUAGAACCUGAAACCGUGUGCUUACAAGUAGUCAGAGCCCGUUAAUGGGUGAUGGCGUGCCUUUUGUAGAAUGAACCGGCGAGUUACGAUUUGAUGCAAGGUUAAGCAGUAAAUGUGGAGCCGUAGCGAAAGCGAGUCUGAAUAGGGCGUUUAGUAUUUGGUCGUAGACCCGAAACCAGGUGAUCUACCCUUGGUCAGGUUGAAGUUCAGGUAACACUGAAUGGAGGACCGAACCGACUUACGUUGAAAAGUGAGCGGAUGAACUGAGGGUAGCGGAGAAAUUCCAAUCGAACCUGGAGAUAGCUGGUUCUCUCCGAAAUAGCUUUAGGGCUAGCCUCAAGUGAUGAUUAUUGGAGGUAGAGCACUGUUUGGACGAGGGGCCCCUCUCGGGUUACCGAAUUCAGACAAACUCCGAAUGCCAAUUAAUUUAACUUGGGAGUCAGAACAUGGGUGAUAAGGUCCGUGUUCGAAAGGGAAACAGCCCAGACCACCAGCUAAGGUCCCAAAAUAUAUGUUAAGUGGAAAAGGAUGUGGCGUUGCCCAGACAACUAGGAUGUUGGCUUAGAAGCAGCCAUCAUUUAAAGAGUGCGUAAUAGCUCACUAGUCGAGUGACACUGCGCCGAAAAUGUACCGGGGCUAAACAUAUUACCGAAGCUGUGGAUUGUCCUUUGGACAAUGGUAGGAGAGCGUUCUAAGGGCGUUGAAGCAUGAUCGUAAGGACAUGUGGAGCGCUUAGAAGUGAGAAUGCCGGUGUGAGUAGCGAAAGACGGGUGAGAAUCCCGUCCACCGAUUGACUAAGGUUUCCAGAGGAAGGCUCGUCCGCUCUGGGUUAGUCGGGUCCUAAGCUGAGGCCGACAGGCGUAGGCGAUGGAUAACAGGUUGAUAUUCCUGUACCACCUAUAAUCGUUUUA
rnacentral:rRNA from 1 species